UACGAAGGGGGCUAGCGUUGCUCGGAAUCACUGGGCGUAAAGCGCACGUAGGCGGCUUUCUAAGUCAGGGGUGAAAUCCUGGAGCUCAACUCCAGAACUGCCUUUGAUACUGAAGAUCUUGAGUCCGGGAGAGGUGAGUGGAACUGCGAGUGUAGAGGUGAAAUUCGUAGAUAUUCGCAAGGACACCAGUGGCGAAGGCGGCUCACUGGCCCGGUACUGACGCUGAGGCACGAAAGCGUGGGGAGCAAACAGG
rnacentral:rRNA from 1 species